AUUGAACGCUGGCGGCAGGCCUAACACAUGCAAGUCGAACGAGUGGCGGACGGGUGAGUAAUGUCUGGGCAACUGCCUGCUGGAGGGGGAUAACUACUGGAAACGGUAGCUACUACCGCAUACCAUCAGAUGUGCCCAGCUGGGUGUAGCUAGUCGGUGGGGUAAUGGCUCACCUAGGCGACGAUCCCUAGCUGGUCUGAGAGGAUGACCAGCCACACUGGAACUGAGACACGGUCCAGACUCCUACGGGAGGCAGCAGUGGGGAAUAUUGCACAAUGGGCGCAAGCCUGAUGCAGCCAUGCCGCGUGUGUGAAGAAGGCCUUCGGGUUGUAAAGCACUUUCAGCGAGGAGGCGUUACUCGCAGAAGAAGCACCGGCUAACUCCGUGCCAGCCGCCGCGGUAAUAC
rnacentral:rRNA from 1 species